rnacentral:rRNA from 1 species
GACGAACGCUGGCGGCGUGCUUAACACAUGCAAGUCGAACGAAGUGGCGAACGGGUGAGUAACGCGUAAUCAACCUGCCCUUCAGAGGGGGACAACAGUUGGAAACGACUGCUAAUACCGCAUACUGAAGGAGGGGAUUGCGUCCGAUUAGCUAGUUGGAGGGGUAACGGCCCACCAAGGCGAUGAUCAGUAGCCGGUCUGAGAGGAUGAACGGCAACAUUGGGACUGAGACACUGCCCAGACUGCUACGGGAGGCAGCAGUGGGGGAUAGUGCACAAGGGGCGAAAGCCUGAUGCAGCGACGCCGCGUGGGUGAUGAAGGCUUUCGGGUUGUAAACCUGUGUCGCUAUCGAACGGGUAGGUGGAGAAGAAGCGCCGGCUAACUACGUGCCAGCAGCCGCGGUAAUAC